CAUGGUUGUGGGAGUGACUGGUAUCACAAUAACAGGUAUAUCUGUAUCCCUCCCUGCUCUCGUUAUAACUGGAGCUGUGAUCGUGGCAUGUGUAGGUGUAUGGAUGAUAUACAAGGAAACACAGAAGGAAGAAGACGACAAAAUAUGGAACAAAAUAAAAAGAUUUUUCAAAAAUCUAUGAAACAAAUCCAAAGAAAAGAUCUGAACAUCCUUCUGCGAUAAACACAAAGACGUCAAAGAACAUGUUUGUUAUGGCAUUGCUCCAACAGAGUUUGGUUGUAUAACACGCAAUGGCAAUAAAGAUCUAUCUAUUC